rnacentral:lncRNA from 1 species
UUAAACCAUAUAUUCAUAGCUCUAGAACAAAAAAAAACAUAUUAUUUAACCACAAAGGUGUAAAUCACUGUUCGAGGAGAAUCAACUAAAACGUUGAACACCAAUAAGAGCAUCUUCAAUAGAAGUAUUAAGAGAAGUAUUUUUUUUUUUUUUUGCUAAAACUAAGAGAAGUAUCUUUCAUUUAAAAUAAAUACAAAAAUUAGAAGAAAAAAAUGUAGAAAAGUUAUCAAAUGAGGAUUUAUAAGAGCAUCAUUAACCCACAAACCCAACGGGGUCUCUUAAUGAGUAUUUUAGUAAUUAAAUGUAAUUAAAAACUCUAGUUAAAAGACGCAUUGAUUUUUCACUCCAAUGCUAGUUUCUUAUUUAGGGAUUCUUAAAAAAAAAUUUACACAUUGCAAAUCAAA